GGUGUUUUAGGCAUCUCUCACUCUUGAUGUAGUCUGUGUGUGAGCUAGUUUGGGCUUUCUUACUGCAGGGCAGCUCAGGGCCAUUGGACUGCUUAUAUGGCUGCUGAAUGGUUCAAGAGUGUGAAUUCCAGUGACAAGAUGGAAGCUGCAUCACCUUUUAUGACCUAGCUUUGGAAGUUACACAGCUUCAUCUCUGCUGCAUUCUUUUUUUUCUUUCUUAAAUAGAAACGGGGUCUCACUGUGUUUCCCAGGCUGGUCUCAAACUCCUGGGCUCAAGCAAUUUUCCUGCCUUGGCCUCCUGAAGCUCUGGGAUUACAGCUCUCACCAGCAACCUCCUUGAUGACUUUUAGACUCUGCUAAUACCAUCCCCAAAGCCCACUGGGUUUUACUGAUAUUUUACUCAAGGGCCUUUCAGAUUCUGCUCAUCAUCCAGUGCCAAGGCCAGUGAUGCAUGUAAGUAGAACCCCACUUCCAACACUAAAUUUCUAUUCCAAUCACUACUGUAGUCUAACGUAUCACCUCAAAAC
rnacentral:lncRNA from 10 species